AGGAGAGGUGCCUUGGGAGGGGAGCUCUAAUGGAUAUGGAAAGUAUGGAUAAUACUUUCCUUCCAUUUGGGGAAAUGCCUUCUCUGGAAAGCAGAUACCACAGAGACGAAAGGGGAGGCAUGAAGCCAAGGCCAAGCCGAUUAGGCCAAGCCAGGAAGCACCUCUUUGUUCUGCUGGGCCCCCUGCCAGUGCUCUCAAAGCACCUUCCAGCUCAGAAGACUGGUGGGUGAUCUCCACCCAACAGGCAGGAAGACUAAGGCAUCUGAGAAUGCCUUGGGGUGCUUGCGGUCACCCCACUACCCUGGGUUUUGAACACAGAGUUCCAAGUCUUUCUCCAGCUGCCUCUUUGAGGAACCCACAAGAAGAGUCAAGAUGAGGAGGCCACAAACCACUGGGAAUGUGAGCUCUGUUGGCACGGGGUCCUGAGCCCGGUAUAGACUUCACCACACGUCACACUUAGAGUGCUCCACCCGGACGACAGGCCGCCACCUGGGGUCCCUCAGCACAUGCCCAAGGGGAGUGGAUUGGUAGUGGAGACAGCUUCCCUGGCUUUCUUGGAAAGGGUGCCCAGAGGGCCAGGGAGCUGGUGGAGAAGAUGGGGAAGGCCCGGGGCAGGAGGUGUGGAGCUCCCUGGCCCCUGAUCCCACCCCACACCCGCUCUCUGCCCACGCUCCUGCGCCCUCCAGGCAAGGAGACUCUGAGUUCUCGGUAAGCAUCCGCCCCACCGGCAAUGGGCUGAAAAUCCCAUAACGUGGAAAACGCCGUCACCAGAGAGAGAAAAUGGUGGUCCGGAGGAAAGAAUGAAGGAAGUUGAGGACAGGGUCCGGCCUGGUCUCUGGAAAAAGGCUGGGGAGAAGCCAGGAGCUGAUAGACACCGUGGUGGGGGAGCAAAGGACCCCACUGUGGUCACGGAGACUCAACCUUCGCACUCCCUGAGGAUGCAGGGCCCGAGAGCCCAGGCCACAGAGAGUAGAGCAGAUCCAGUGGCCUGGAAGGACCUGGGUCAUAGGAAGAGACAAGAGUCUAGACAAUGGGUCUGUGCCAGGCACCUUGCCCAUCCCGGGAGAGCUGCUGGGUGAGGCCCGAGGUCAAGGGGACAGCUGGAAGCCACUUCCUGACCUGGCUGGAGGCGGGGAAUUGGCCGGGCGCUCUCUCCCCUACCUUGGCACCCCCAGAACAAGGCCUGAUGGACAGGAAAGCAGAGAAGGAAAGUGCAUUCACUCCCACCCCCGGGCCUGUGGCUGGUGGGGGGCAGGGGCAGCCCUCCCAUGCAUGAGGCUGGGGGAUCCAGCAGGGAGCCCACCCACAGCACGGGACUGUGAGUCUAAACAUCUGGAUCCAGUUACUGCUGCCCCCAGGCAGGCGACUUAAGUGCUCCGUGCCUCGGUGGCGCUAUCUUCCGUGGACACAACAAGAGGCCCGCCCCCCAGGAGGUCAUGGGAAGAGCUGGGAGCAGGACAGUGAAGCUGUCAGAAGGUGCCUGGCACAGAGAGAGCCCCGGCCUGUGGCCCAGCAUCGUGUUGUGUGGGGCACCUUCCGUGGACCAGGAGCCGUGCCAGACGCUCUCGCUCGGGCCAGGCUUGGCAGCACUCAGAAACGAAGGCCUAAGAAGAUGACGUACCUUGCCCGAGUUCUCACAACUAGAAAGUGGCUGCGGCCAAGAUACAACAAAGGACUCAGGUCAUAGUAUGUGGCCUCUUCACCUGCAGCCUCUUCUCCGGAUCUUCCGGGACAGCGUCCUUCCCCUUCAGUCCUGCUGCUGGGGCCUCAGCUCCCCACCCCUCCGUCCCUGUCUGCGCCUUCCUCAUCACUUCCUCCUACUCCCGGCUCAUUCCCUCCACCCUGCCCAGGCCUGUCCCUAAAUGCCUCCUUUGUUCCCUUCUCCUACACUCGUCUGGUUGCCUCCCGCUCUGUUGCCCAGGAUGGGCACUGGGUAAGCCACCCUGCCUGCAAAUCCUUCUGGCCUUGGGGGACCAGAGGUCUCCCUGAGAGCAGAGUGAUGGCACAGCAGCCGGUGCCUCCAUCCGAUGGGGCCCUCAGACACACCCGAGCGAGCGCUCACCUGGACAUGUGACCUGCAUGCCCCCAGGGAAGGGGGCGAGGAGGCUGUGAUCCUCUUCUGGCUUGAUUUGACCGCACGGGCCGUUGGCUCUGAUAUUUGCCAAAUGAGCCAGUUAAUUGCCAAAUUUGUACUCUCAGACAAAUGGUAAUUAUCUGGAUAAGGAUCUGAAAUGCUGGAUGGAUUUCCCCAUUUCCACCCAGAUGUCAAACAGCCCAGCAUUAGUCUGUCUCACCGAGGCUUGCUGUCCCUUCUGCUUCCUCGGGUGUCAGGACAGGGAAGGGGCGACUAGGGGCAGACACAGUACCACCCAGGCUGGCUCCAGACCAGCGGCGGGCCCUUGAGAACGUCGCCCCGCCUGUCCAGGCCUCAGUUUCCUCCUGGUGAUGUCGGACGUGAUCCCUGACUCCCAACCUGGUUCCACGUUAGAAUCCCCAAGGGAGACUUAAAAAUACAAGAUCCCAGGCCUCAAACCCCUGAACCAGAACCUCCCAGGGAAAGGCCCAGGAAGCAGUGUCAUGAUUCACCCACCAGGUGACUCCAACCUAAGGAUGGCUGUUGGGAGCCACUGGGCCCAGUGGCCCCCCUGGAAGGCCUG